rnacentral:rRNA from 1 species
AUUGAACGCUGGCGGCAGGCCUAACACAUGCAAGUCGAGCGGUAGAGAGGUGCUUGCACCUCUUGAGAGCGGCGGACGGGUGAGUAAUGCCUAGGAAUCUGCCUGGUAGUGGGGGAUAACGCUCGGAAACGGACGCUAAUACCGCAUACGUCCUACGGGAGAAAGCAGUGGACCUUCGGGCCGUUGUCGCUAUCAGAUGA